UACGUAGGGUGCGAGCGUUAAUCGGAAUUACUGGGCGUAAAGCGUGCGCAGGCGGUUCGUUAAGUUCGUUGUGAAAGCCCCGGGCUUAACCUGGGAACUGCGUUUGAAACUACAAGGCUAGAGUGUGACAGAGGGGGGUGGAAUUCCACGUUGUAGCAGGUGAAAUGCGUAGAGAUGUGGAGGAACACCGAUGGCGAAGGCAGCCCCCUGGGUUAACACUGA
rnacentral:rRNA from 1 species